CUGGGGGAGUGUCUCUGGACGUGGGAUCCGGGCAGGACCCCCCUCGGGACAGAAUUCCCCCCCCUGUGGGCCCCUGUUUCAGGCAGGCGUGGAGUAGACCUCUCCCCAUGAUGGAGAAGGACUCUGCUGGGCGAGUUUCCAUGAGACAGGGCUCACUCCUCAUUUGUCGGGGCAGGAAAAGGGGUUUUGCACUCUUCUAAAGCAGAGUCAGGGUUUGCCAGCCUUCUCCUAGUCACAACCUCUGUAAUGCUCCUGUCUGUGCAGGAGGAGGCCUGGGAAAUCCCUUCAUCCAAGCUAGUAGGGUGACCAAACCUCUGGAUAUUAUCAGAACCCUCCUGAUAUUAGGGGGUUUGUUUUAUAUACACAACUAUAAUCCCCUGGCCCUGAAAAAAAAAAGUCCUGAUUUUUCGCAUUUGCUAGCUGGCCACUCUGCAAGCUAACAACAAUCAGUGGCUUCCAGGCCUGGGAAUGUGAUAUCUCAAGGUCAGUUUGGUCCUGAGAAGGGUAGAUGGAGGGAUGGCAAGCUACUCAAACUCAGUCACUGGAUGUUUCUGCCAAAAUUAGUAUCAGCCAAAUAAUGUUAUUUUAUCUGUUGCCAUUAGGUUUCAGAGUUAACAUUUCAGUGAGAUGACUGGCAUCCAUUCACACUUCUUUCCCGGGUGUUAUUUUCAGCUAUCUGAAGAAAGUGCUGCAUCAAGUCAAAAUAGAUUAUCUUGACAACCAUAAGAGGUUAAAUCUUAGUUUGCUUCCUACUGAAUUUCACCAUUCUUAAAAACCAUGAAUUAGAGGAAACAUAUGAGAACUCUACAAAUAAUUAUGAAGGAUGAUUCAUUUAAAGAGAGCUGUCUCCAAUUCAUAUGUAUAUACUGCAUGUUCCUAAAGGCUGCCUUGGGUGAGACUUCAUCAAAUUUCCAUGUAGAACAGAAUUUACAGACCAAAGAGAAUACAUAUGGAUUAAUGAGAUUAGAACUACA